rnacentral:rRNA from 2 species
ACUGGAGGACCGAACCGACUAAUGUUGAAAAAUUAGCGGAUGACUUGUGGCUGGGGGUGAAAGGCCAAUCAAACCGGGAGAUAGCUGGUUCUCCCCGAAAGCUAUUUAGGUAGCGCCUCGUGAACUCAUCUUCGGGGGUAGAGCACUGUUUCGGCUAGGGGGUCAUCCCGACUUACCAACCCGAUGCAAACUACGAAUACCGAAGAAUGUUAUCACGGGAGACACACGGCGGGUGCUAACGUCCGUCGU